rnacentral:rRNA from 1 species
GAGCGGAACUAACAGAUUUACUUCGGUAAUGACGUUAGGAAAGCGAGCGGCGGAUGGGUGAGUAACACGUGGGGAACCUGCCCCAUAGUCUGGGAUACCACCUGGAAACAGGUGCUAAUACCGGAUAAGAAAGCAGAUCGCAUGAUCAGCUUUUAAAAGGCGGCGUAAGCUGUCGCUAUGGGAUGGCCCCGCGGUGCAUUAGCUAGUUGGUAAGGUAAAGGCUUACCAAGGCGAUGAUGCAUGGCCGAGUUGAGAGACUGAUCGGCCACAUUGGGACUGAGACACGGCCCAAACUCCUACGGGAGGCAGCAGUAGGGAAUCUUCCACAAUGGACGCAAGUCUGAUGGAGCAACGCCGCGUGAGUGAAGAAGGUUUUCGGAUCGUAAAGCUCUGUUGUUGGUGAAGAAGGAUAGAGGUAGUAACUGGCCUUUAUUUGACGGUAAUCAACCAGAAAGUCACGGCUAACUACGUGCCAGCAGCCGCGGUAAUACGUAGGUGGCAAGCGUUGUCCGGAUUUAUUGGGCGUAAAGCGAGCGCAGGCGGAAGAAUAAGUCUGAUGUGAAAGCCCUCGGCUUAACCGAGGAACUGCAUCGGAAACUGUUUUUCUUGAGUGCAGAAGAGGAGAGUGGAACUCCAUGUGUAGCGGUGGAAUGCGUAGAUAUAUGGAAGAACACCAGUGGCGAAGGCGGCUCUCUGGU